rnacentral:siRNA from 1 species
ACAGAUGGUUACUAUUCUGGUGGU